rnacentral:rRNA from 1 species
AGCGAACGCUGGCGGCAGGCUUAACACAUGCAAGUCGAGCGGGCGUAGCAAUACGUCAGCGGCAGACGGGUGAGUAACGCGUGGGAACGUACCUUUUGGUUCGGAACAACACAGGGAAACUUGUGCUAAUACCGGAUAAGCCCUUACGGGGAAAGAUUUAUCGCCGAAAGAUCGGCCGGCGUCUGAUUAGCUAGUUGGUAGGGUAAUGGCCUACCAAGGCGACGAUCAGUAGCUGGUCUGAGAGGAUGAUCAGCCACAUUGGGACUGAGACACGGCCCAAACUCCUACGGGAGGCAGCAGUGGGGAAUAUUGGACAAUGGGGGCAACCCUGAUCCAGCCAUGCCGCGUGAGUGAUGAAGGCCCUAGGGUUGUAAAGCUCUUUUGUGCGGGAAGAUAAUGACGGUACCGCAAGAAUAAGCCCUGGCUAACUUCGUGCCAGCAGCCGCGGUAACAC